ACGUAACGGGGAUGAUGGGUUCGAGGUGGCCGAUAUCGCCGUCACGAGCCCGACUGCUUCCCGACUAUGUGAGGGGGAAGAAUUGAGGGAGAGGGAAACUACAUAAAAUUAUUUCCCGAUAGAUCCCCGUUCGUGUCCCGGUCAGAAUUCUUUCCCGAUAGAUUCCCGUUUGCGUCCCGGCCAGGAUUCUUUCCCGAUGGAUCCCCGUUAACGUCCCGAUCUGCUGUGGUGUACUGGCUAAGUAUUUCUUCCCGCUCGUCUCCCGAUGUUUAUGCAGAUUCGGUAACACGUGAUCGGAUGGUACAGCUCGAGACAAAGUUUCUGAAACACGGGUUUUCUGUAUUGGACUUUUCCCAGCCACCUUUGGGAAAUGCUUGUUGAGCAGAAUCCUUGGGGAUUCUGUUCAACAAGUGUUCCCCUUAGGCCGCAGGGGAGGCGUAGAGAAGUGAAAUACAAAACACCCGUGUUUCAGAAACUUUUGUCCCAAGCUGUACGAGACAGUGAAGCAUCCCUUCAGGAAGGAAUUUGGCUGUCUGGUAUGAGGUAACUCUUUCAAACAUUGGGCUGCAGUUCACUUCAUGUGUUGUGUUGUGUUGUGUUGUAUGACGGAAAACAUGCACACGCAGCACCCUGAACAGAAGUAUUAAUGGAGCCUCACUGCAAAGCACGCAAGUACAAGAUACUCGGGAAGAGUCGGCCACGCCCGAACGAAACGACCGAAUCUCCCGAAUCGAAAAACUCACGUGAAACGAAACGAAGAGAGCUUUAGCAAGUCGAACUGAUCGGACGAAAACCGCUGCACCGAAACCCGCAAAGACUACGCUGGAGCUCCCUGCAUUUGGGCUACCGCGACUGCCAUCGCCAUCAUCUUUGUUUUGGUUGUCAUUGCUGGGUGCAAAUGGCCGGCGUGUGUGUUCUUAAUGUUUCUGAGCAACAAGUUUUGCAAAGUUUGGUUCGGAGGGAGUAUGGAACGCCGUUUUGUGGUCAACGUGGCCAGAGUGCCUCAAAAGUACUCCUGCCGCAUUCUGGUCACUGUUAUAAAUGUGAAUCCCUGCCACCAUCAGCAGCUUUUAAGUAGAUUCAUGGCACAUGAGGAACCUGCGAUGUACACCAUCGCACACAGUCAAGAAAAAUGUAGCAUUUAACCUUGCUUUCCUUCAUUAUAACAAACAAAAAAAAGAAAGAAAGAAAGAACACUAGAGAAAGGGUCGGCAAAACAGUGCUGUCGUUCUUGCAACCCGUCUGAUAUUGCAACUGUCUGUAAGUGGAAGCGUUUCUUCUAACCGCGAGCAAACCAGUCGGUCUCGUUUGACAUGUCAAAGAGUGAAGACGCUACCUUGCAUGUGAAGCCAAAUCGUUCUUCGCCUUCAGGAUUAUUGCCGUUUCAGGGAUCUGCGCAACGACAGGGAGAUAGAACGCCAAGUGAAGUCGACUGUGUACUUUGUGCAGACGGUUCAGCGUGUAUGACGCAGCGGCCUUCAGCAAGAGAAACUCAAGCACCGUGUUCAAAUGCAGUGGGGACUCUUGCUGGCCAUGACAACGCUUAGAAGUGCUUUUUCGGAAGAAGGACAAGUUGGACCGGAAAUGAGGACCUAGGUGUGCUCUUUUGCGCUGUUGUUCACCGUUCGAUCAUUACCAGUUUUUGUGCCCCCGUGAGUUCAACGCUUAGGUAUGUUGAUGAUAAAUGGAUAUGCGUUAAAAGGUACGUACUCCGGAGUGGUGAAUUGUUCUGGUGAAGUGAUUCGUUGCUGCUAUCUCCUGUUUCGUGAGGGUUCUUGUCGGUACUCAUAUACCGCAGGCAUGAGGGGCUUUCUUUGCAGAACAUUUCAGUAAACCAAGACUGCAGCAUUUUCAAGAUUGCCAUAACCAGCAUCAAUGCAGCUCUCAUGUCAACAUCAGCAUCAAGACAGCUCUGAUAGACCACCUCUUACUGUGUAC